CCAGAAAUUCGUAAACCACCCCAGGCCACCUGGAGAAAGAUGCUUGCGUGAGUGGAGGGCAUUGGAAUAGAUGAGUCCUCUCUGACUCAAGGAUUGCAGCUUGAGCCAGGGUGGCUGUGCCUGCCUGUGAUUCAUGCAGUGUUACAUUUGGCUGGAGUGGUGCUGUGCCCUGAGUUUGCUCUAGCAACUGCAGAGUCUAAGUAUUCACAAAGGAAGAGCUUUUGUCGUGGAAGAUAAAGCCCUACUGACUUGUGUGAAUCCUUCAAGAUUCAAGCAAGAUGGGAGCAAGUCUCGGCCUAGGCCUCCAGAGGCCCACCAUGUCUGUCUCCCCCCACCCCCCACCCCACUGGGCCGGGACCAUCUUCUCAGUCUCCAUUCAUCCUUGUUUUUAAGAACCGAAGUGCCACCUCCCCUGGUACAUUUAAUCAUUGUUCCUGGCACUGAUCCCUUUCUUUGUUGUUUCCAUGUCCUUGCCUUUUGAAGUUCUGGAUUCUCUCCUCAGGCAUCCUGUUUGGAUCCCCCUCCCUCGCAUUGACGUAUGAGAGCCAAGAACAGCCCUGUUCCUGCAGGAGGCUAGCACUUGGCUCAGAAGAGAGAGCUGGUAGUGGUUUCUCUCCCUGACUGUUCUUUGGGUUUAUGUGGGGAUUUAUUAUUCUGAGAACAGUUUGGUAUCUUCCUCAAACUUCUCCCCUAUCAACAAUGUCUUUAUGUCCAAGGGAGUCACUUUGCCUUUAUUGUAUCUAACUAGGUGAAGAUAGGAGCUUUUUCUUAUGUAUCUGUGCAGAAAGGGCUCCCCAAGGACCUUGACGAGCAUCACAGUGAGUGUUGUUAUCAUUGUGACAAACUUGCAAAUCAUCUCCAGUGUCUUACUGUCCUGUAGACCUUGAGUCUGUUCCAGAUCAGGAAGUUUCUGAACUCUUGGGCACCGUGUAUCACCCUUCAGCCCUCCCUAGUCACAAGUCAGCAUGCCAGGUUUAGCUAGAGAGGAAUGGCUAACCAUUUGCAUUUCUGAAGACAUCAACAACACUUACC
rnacentral:lncRNA from 1 species